GCGGAUGUGGUGGAACUGGUAGACACGUCAGACUUAGGAUCUGAUGCCGUGAGGUGUGCAGGUUCGAUUCCUGUCAUCCGCA
rnacentral:tRNA from 1 species